CAGCAGCCGCGGUAAUACGAAGGGUGCAAGCGUUACUCGGAAUUACUGGGCGUAAAGCGUGCGUAGGUGGUUGUUUAAGUCUGCUGUGAAAGCCUUGGGCUCAACCUGGGAAUUGCAGUGGAUACUGGCGACUAGAGUAAGGUAGAGGAUAGUGGAAUUUCCGGUGUAGCAGUGAAAUGCGUAGAGAUCGGAAGGAACAUCUGUGGCGAAGGCGACUAUCUGGGCCAUUACUGACACUGAGGCACGAAAGCGUGGGGAGCAAACAGGAUUAGAUACCCGGGUAGUCCCUGUCUCUUAUACA
rnacentral:rRNA from 1 species